rnacentral:tRNA from 1 species
GCCUUCGUGGUGUAGUGGUCAGCACGCUCGACGUGUAUUUCAGAGGUCCGUGGUUCGACUCCCGGUGAGGGCA